ensembl:lncRNA
UGGUGGGCUACAAAUCCGUGAGGUCACAAAGAGACAGAUAUGACUGAGCACGCACGCACCCACCCAGUUCUGUCAUUUGUAGCUGGGGGCUCUGUGUGCCCCUCCCGGUGAGGGCUCAAAGCCUCCAUUGUGACUCAGCAGCGCAAGAGGAAACUUGGCUACUAGAGAUUAAGGAAUAAGGUAGCUCAGUCGAAAAGAAUCUGCCUGCAGUGCAGGAGACGUGGGUUCAGUCCCUCAAUCAGGAAGAUCCCCUGGAGAAGGAGAUGGCAACCUCCUCUAGUAUUCUUGCCUUGGAAGUUCCAUGGACAGAAGAGCCUGAAUGUUUUCAGGACAGGAGCCAUAGCUUGACUGUAUACAGCCCAGAAGUGAGCACAAGUAUCCCACUCAACAAACAUCACCUCUUCCAUGAAGUCUUCCAUGAUGCCACCUCCAGGCUCUCAGUCAUUUCCCAGGACUAUAUUCACACCACUAUUCUGGUGCCUGCUAACUGUGGCCAGAUGGGGAUUCUCUCAUCUCUUCCUCCUCCACACUUCCUGGGGGAGAGGGCCUUCUGUAAAACUGAGUGAAGAGACAAGGAUGUGGCUCGUAAC